UAUCCACAUCAGUACACUGAAUUUUUUUUAAAUAUCCUUCUUUUUAUUUUUUUUGAUAAAGGAAAUAGUCAUAUUAAAAUUUAGAUACUGAAAAGAAAAAAACUAUUGGUACCAUUUAAACACUUAAGGUAAAACUUAGGUACCACAAGAGCAAAUUAACGGAAACGUGCAGUAGACACAGUUUCCUCGCCUGGUUUGGACCAGUUAAACGUCGCUUUCACUGGACACGACACCGCAGACAGUAAGUCGGCGGCUGCGGCGCGUCCUUGUCGACUUCUGUCCGUAGGUUUUGUUGUCGGCUAACGCCGGCUACUUUUUCCUUUUCUCCACUGUUGAUCAAAAACCAAAAUUAGUCUUUUGGCACUGAGAGUUAAACUCCGAAUUGUUUUCGUUAGCAUUGUGGAAGACAUUGGGAGGAUAAUGAAUCUGAGCCCUUGAUUUUGAGCUAAUUGGGAGAUCAUGUGUUCGAGGUUUAUGAUGCCUUUUUUAAAAUUAAAAAAAAAAGAGUUGGUUGAAAGAGGUAUCUGCGGUCUUCUGAUAAUUGGUUUUGAACCUGACACUUGUGUUUUUCUGCAUGCGAAUUGUGAAGGGAUGAGAUCCUUGUGCAAAGUCGUUAUUGCCCCUGCGAUUUCCAAACUUUCUGUCUUUGCCAUCUACUGGGUUUUACUUUUUUUUGUGUAGUUGGUAAAGAAAAAAUAGAAAAAAUCUU
rnacentral:lncRNA from 1 species